rnacentral:rRNA from 1 species
UAACGCGAAGAACCUUACCUACCCUUGACAUGUACGGAAUCCUGCUGAGAGGCGGGAGUGCCCGAAAGGGAGCCGUAACACAGGUGCUGCAUGGCUGUCGUCAGCUCGUGUCGUGAGAUGUUGGGUUAAGUCCCGCAACGAGCGCAACCCUUGUCCCUAGUUGCUACGCAAGAGCACUCCAGGGAGACUGCCGGUGACAAACCGGAGGAAGGUGGGGAUGACGUCAAGUCCUCAUGGCCCUUAUGGGUAGGGCUUCACACGUCAUACAAUGGUCGGAACAGAGGGUUGCCAAGCCGCGAGGUGGAGCCAAUCCCAGAAAACCGAUCGUAGUCCGGAUCGCAGUCUGCAACUCGACUGCGUGAAUGCUGGAAUCGCUGAGUAAUCGCGGAUCAGCAUGUACGCGGGAGUACGACCGUU